UCAAACAUAUAUAUAGUAUACACACACAUACACACACAUAUAAAUAAUAUUCUGGUAUAUGUCAGAAAGGAAACAGAUAUUGACUUUUGAGGGCAAAUGAUAGAAGAAUAGGACCUGAUAAGGCAAUUCUGCAAGAUGUUCUUACAGUUUGAGCUAAUAUCUUGAAAAAAGUUACUAGAUCAUUGUGAAUUAAAGGUGAGUAUGGGGAAGAGUCUUUCCACAUAAAGGAAUUAACACAUGAAAAGGCUUAGAGAUGGGAAAGGCAAAUCACUGUUGAGCAGAAAGCCAAGAGUAAUGUGGUGCCACUUGCAGAAAGGCCAUGCAAGCCCUUGUGUCUAUAGGGAUUAUAGUCAUAAAAAUACAAAUUGCAUGUAUGUAGUUAAGAUUCCAUGGUAGGUUCCCAUGGCUAUAAUUAAAAAAAAAAAAAAAUGCUAGAAAUACACCGAGGAUGGAAUGGAGGGAGAGCAGCACAGAUGGGAUAAUGUGCUUUUGUUUGGUUUUAUUUAGUAGAAAUAAUGAGCUUGACUUCAUGUAGCAUGAGUCAAAGAUGCUUUGAAACUUCCAAGUGGGCAAUGAUGUAAGGAGCUAUAGCUAUAUACAAAGUCCAAUGUGUUAGAAUGAGCUGAGAAGAGAACUGGAUAUAAGGAAAAGGAGGAACGAAGUAUAGACACACUCAGGAUUCCUGCCAACCUCAAGAUCAAACCUAUGAGUCCUAUAUGUAGGAAAUUAAAGUGAAGUUGAAACUAUUCAUUAUUAUAGGAAGGACACACUCAGGACUCCUGCCAACCUCAAGAUCAAACCUAGGAAUCCUAUAUGUAGGAAAUUAAGGUGAACUUGAAACUAUUCGUUAUUACAGGAAGAACCAGGCAGAAAGAGAGCUCAGUAGCAGGUAAGCCUCGUGGUGUUAGAAUUACCCUAUGGGACAGGGGACAUAACCAAGAAGCAUGGACACUGAACCCACCACCAGGACACUGCAAGCACAGAAAUUAGACAACUCAGUUCAAGAUGACUGAGAAUUUUCUGGUGAUACAAAAUUAGUUGUGGCUUUACUCAAUUUGAAGGAAUGAGAAUUAUUCAAUCCUCUAGCUUCGCACAGUAGCAAAUUAGACCAGAUUACAGCUUCAAAAAGUUACUUGGUCCAGGUAAUGUUAUACAAGCUCCUUGUAGAUGUGUUAUACAUGUUUUUAAUAUAAUAAGCUUGACCUUGGCCACUGUAGACAUAUAUAUAUUUCUGGAUACUGUUGCUUAUAAAAAGGCUUUGAGUAGCAAUUGGCCUUGUUCACCAAACUAAUAAUGUAAUGACAACAUGCUCUGUUUUGAGAGGAUAUCUUGAGUUAAAUUUUUUUCAGUUUCUUCUUCAGAUAAAUGUAUGUCUGUCAUCCCAAAGAAUAAUGAGAACUACUGAAUCCAAAUUGCUUCACCUCUCAUAAAAGAAGUUUAGAAAAAAAGCCAAGUACGGUUAUGGUUAUUAACUUGUAUUAAGUGCUUUGUAAAAUAAUACAGUAAUAUUAAAAUAUAUCAAUAAUGAUGACAGUUCUUAGUCUAAUACUCCUGAUUACCAGAUAGAUACAUGAGAGAUAAGCUUUAGUUUUAAUUUUAUUUUUAUUUACCUGCAUAUUUAUUCUAUCAGUUCUCUUCAUAACAUGAUUUUGCUAUUUUAUCAGCGUGUUUGUGGCCUGCCUUCCAUGUGUCAGGCACUGACUUAAGUACUAAGAAUUAAGAAAAAAAAAAAAGAAUAAUUAUGGUUCCUGAUUGUAAGCAUUUUUAAAUUUAAAACUAGAGUUAUAGCUACUGAAAAUCCUUCUGGAAAUAGGUUAAAUAAAAAUAUUUUGAAAUACUUCAUUUCUUAGACUAUACCAUCCAGAAACUUCUAGUCUUGUAAGAAUUUCUAUAAGAAUUCCAGACUCUUCUUUCCAAACAUGGGCCAACUUAUAAAAAAUUAUCCAAAUAAUUCAAAUAAGGAGUAUAGAUGUAGAAGAGAAUGGAUUGGGUAUUUCUUAAGCAAUGCGUAGGACAUAUUUAAACCUUAUAAGAAAAGCCUUUGAUGCAGACAUUAUCUGUAUAAAGGUGAGAAAGGAGAUUCAGAAAGGGUAUUAAUUGCCAAAGCUCAAGCAACUUGUUAAUAUAAGAGCUGAAAUGUGAGUCAUUUCUCUUCAAAGUUCAUUUCCUUUCUCCUACACCACAGGGUUUUACGUUGAUAUGAAAAAAUUUCUUUAGGAUUCCUUUGAGGAAAGCAAUAUGGAAUCAACAUUUUCGUAAAAAGUGCCCAUACACCUGUAAAAAGUGACUAAUCUUCUGUGUCACCUUCUUUCAGUUACAGCUUUUGUGAUAUUGCCUGAAGCUUCUGACCAAAUACUAGAAGAGCUCUUAAAACAAAUCAUGUUACAAGAAAAAGUGCCUGUUUUAGAAAACUGACCAGAUAGUCCCUUUACCUUUGUGGAGGAGAGAGGCAGAAGAGGCAGAGUGAUGCAAUAUGAGAGACAUUUAACUGACCAUUGCUGGCUUUGAAGACGGAGGGGGCCACAUGCCAAGGAGUGGGGGCAGCCUCUUGAAGCUGAAAAUGGUUACAGCCUCCAGAAGGAACCAGCCUUGCUGAUACCCAAAAGAUGUAUCUUGAAAAAAAGUGGCAUGGCUUCUACAAAGGACCCGUGUGCUCAGGGGAUUAUACCUUCUGUUUACAUAGGAAUAAAUAUGCAUUUUAUUUAUCAUCUGCAUUUUAAAUAAAUCAUGGGUUCU